CUAGGUCANGCGUGGUCACCCGCUGAGUUUAA
rnacentral:rRNA from 1 species